rnacentral:lncRNA from 1 species
CCGCGAGGCAGGGUGAGGGGCGCCACCGAGGAAGCGCCCACCGGGCUCCCGGGGCUGCCAGGCCCCAAAUUGAGGAAGUUGACUGCCAGAUCACACUCUGUUGGCCCACGCAUUCCAUUCAUCCUUUCUAAUGUCUACACCAUAUUUUGGAUAACAUGCCAUCAUCUCACAUUGUGUUGAAAGAAGAAACCAGAAUGUUGGGGUUGAUGUAUGCCAUAUGGAUGAAUUUAAACAGUUUCGGCCUUGCAAUAAUUGGUAUACUUCUAAUUGCAUGUGAAAUUAUACUCUUUUUAACGAAAGAUGAAACUAUUCAGUGGCCACAUGUACCCAGUAACAGAGGGAGCAAAGCAAAUCUUAUCCUCAAAGAACUGCAGCUGCUUGUUAGAUCUACCUGGUGGUUCCAUAGAGAAACUGCUCAGAGAACCUGCCUUUACCUCGCCUAAAACAGAACUAUCCCGGAGCUCAGCAAAGGAGUCCAUUCAUCCUCUAUAACUGCUAUACAAUAUCUCUGUUAAAAUGCUGAGAAGAUUUAUCCUAAAAGAAGGCACCAAAGCAAUGGGGGCUGUGCAAAUAAUGAUUGGCCUGAUUCACAGUGCACUGGGAACUCUCUGAAUUCAUUGGAUUUUGCUAAGAGAGGAUUCAAGUGGUUCUGGUCCUAUCCCUAUAAUUGCUGUAGUAAUUUACUCAUUUUUGUCAUUAUUUUUUUUCAUCAACUCAGGAUCCAGUAGUGUAAUACAGAAGCCUGUUACGAGAUAUAAGGCACUUUGCCCUCGGAAAUCUCACUGUCGGAAUCCUUGGAAAUCACACCACGCACAACUUCUAUUUCUUCAUAAUUUGCAAAGAACCAGUGUGACUCCAGUCAAGAACAAAAGAUUAAUUGUGAAUUAGCGAAGAACUCUAAUUUUUUCAAGCAGCCACAUGGAAAACGCAUUCUAAUGAAAUCCUUUCCAUUGCUCUUUUUUCUUAGUUCUUCAAUAAAGCAUGCGAUUUGAUCACAAAUUGACUCUUCCCUUUUUAAAAGCCAGUAUGGGUUAACA